UCCAAAGAUGGUGGAGGCUCUUAUUUGUGGACAAAAUUGGUUGCGGUCUUCACCAAUUCCAAUCAACCUUCGAGAGGCUAUGGAUGACAUAGAAAAAUAUGAAGAAAUUGAGUCAGAAUUUGCGGCUUUAAAUAUAAGAGAUGUGGAGAAUUGAUUUAGUUGAUUUUGAGGAACUUGGCUUAGGCAGGUUGCUACUUGCUUUGGAGGAGUUCACCUUAACUUUUGGAGUGGUACCAAGCUUGAAGUUGAUUGAUGAAGUCUAUUUUGUGAAGAACUUUUGUUAGAAUUGAGUUUAUUUUCAGUGGGUUUAAUUUGAUUACAUUAUGGCUUUUGA